UACGUAGGGUGCAAGCGUUGUCCGGAAUUAUUGGGCGUAAAGCGCACGUAGGCGGCUUUCAAGUCCCAUGUGAAAGCCCACGGCUUAACCGUGGAAGUGCAUGGGAAACUGGAAGCUUGAGUACUUAAGAGGAUCGCGGAAUUCCCGGUGUAGAGGUGAAAUUCGUAGAUAUCGGCAAGAACACCAGUGGCGAAGGCGGCGACUGGGACCGGUACGUACGUGACGCUGAGGUGCGAAAGCGUGGGGAGCAAACAGG
rnacentral:rRNA from 1 species